AGCAGGGCCAGCUGUUGGGGUGUGCAAGCUGUGCGGUCAUGCAGGGUGCCAUGACAACAGAGGCACCCGGCGGGCAACACAGCUCGCAAGUUGGGGACACCAGCAUAUUCAAUUUAAACGAUUCACUGGUGGUCCACUGGUGUGCACCAGCAGUAGGUGCAGUCAGAUUAUAUCCUCUCCAUCGUGGUUCCGGCGCUCAGUUAGUUAGAUUCUCAGCCUGCGCUCUGACAACAUUGAAAGUCAGAGCCGUGAAGGAGCGGGUAUAGCAAAGAGCUACUGAUUAGCAUAACAUCAAUAUCUGUUAUAAAACCAGGAAAAGGUGG